ACAAAACGGAUUUCUCUAGGGGGUUUUGCCAUGUACAGAUAAAUUAAUAUUUAUCUACAAAGCUGAUAAAUUCAAUGAUUCAAAGAAGUGUCAAUGAUUUUAAAAAACUCACAUUAACGCUAUCAUGUUCUAUCCAGAUUUGUAGACGAAAUAAUUUCAAUCAUAAACAUGUAAGGACACUUCCAAAACUCUACAUCACCUUGCUGUGUCACGUAAUUAAAGAGGAGAAAGAAAGGAGAAAACAAUGUUUUACACCAGACUUUUUCGUAGCACAGAAACAAAAAGAGAAACGACUACCAUUUUAAACCCACUAAUAGACACACAAUAUACAAUAUGCGUUGUGUUGUUUCUGUUGCAACGUCACAGGUACAACACAGCCACGUCCUGUGCAUGCUCCUCAAUCCUGACAUCCCCACUUUAGCAAUUGGAAAUUUCUUUGUUAUUUUCAUCUUUCUUCCAUACCACAAGCAUGUGCACUGUUAGAAUUAAAUCGGCUAGUUUCAAUUUAAUUCUAGUAAAUCCCAUGGGCCCACAAUUGACGUUAAGAGAUUAAUACCACCUUAGAAUCCAAUGCGAAAGUACCUCAACUUAAAUAGGUUGUUAAUUGAGAUCACUUGUUGAACGGUUGAGGGGGUGAUGGGACUGCCACACGCGCACCAAGUCAGGUCGGCCAGUCGGGUCUGGGGUGUACGAGACAAUGGCUGCUCUCCUUCCGGACGUUUUUUUUUUAUGAGUAAUGUAACUGACAGAGACUCCUUACCACUGAAACGGACAGAGCAAUCAAUCGGGUUUAAUCUCUCCCAAAACAUAUCUCUCUCAUUAUCCUCCACCUCCAUGAUAGACAGAGAGAUUCUCUCUUCCUGACACUUUGCUUCGGCUCUCCCCGGUCCUGAUCACUUGCGCGCACAAGUGUUCGCGACGAGCAGACCUCCAGAACUCCAUCCACCUAAGUACAUGCACUGAUAGGUAGGCAAUCAAGUUUUUGCGGAGCGUGAAGAACACGCGACUACUCUCAGCACUGCUUCCUCUGUAUCACGUUCUUCUUGCUCUACAUCAACAACUCGGAUCAUAUCGAUCACCAAUGGAGGAGAAGACGGCAACAACAAAGGUGGUGACAUCACCAACACCUUCGCCUUUGGAUCCAAAGCGUUCUUCAAGUUGAGGAAAUUGAGCUCCAUCUCAAGCAUUUGAUGCUGCUGUUUACACCCAAAUUUAGCACAUAGGAUCAAAUUAAAGAAGAAUUGCAAAGAUUUGGGAGAAUCACCGGGUUUCCUCCACAGGGCCGGUCUGACCGUCGUUUGAUGGUGGUCAGACCAUUGCUUGAGGGCUGGUCUGACCGGCGGCAUGUGGCCAGUCGGACUUGCAGAGUCCGAGACCAAGUAUGUUUUCAUCGGGUCUUGGGUUUCCUUACUCGCGAGGCUAUGUUUCGGGUUUCCUUUGGUUUCUAUCCCGAGUUGGAUGUGGAGGAGGACCCGUAGGAGAUAAGACCAACCCCAAUAUAAGGGAUAAGGCCGGUUCAACUGGAGGAGAAUCUACACACAAUCCAAUUUAGCCAAUUGAAUCGUUUUUUUCAAUAUUUCAAUCUACUUCUAGUCUAGUUCGUCCAUCUUUAUCAAUUUGCGCCGUAAAUCGGCCGCCUUCGCUACGAGAGUGUGAAAUCCUUUGUAGGUUUGUCCCGUAAACCUUUCGUUUGCCCACGAGAUGGGUAGUUAUCUAUUGUUUUAUCUAAAUUAGCUCCGCUAGCCGGUUUAAUCUAUCAAAACCCAUCUUGGUCCAGCUUUUGCUAGAUUGGGGUGGUUGGCGACUCUACAAUCACCGCAAGGCGUUUAGGUAUCCCGAUCAUGCUUGUCUACUUGUCAAAAAAGUUGCCAACAGCUGCCGCCGGUGGCAGAGCUCCAGUGCAAGCACUACGCUGCUUGAGCUGUUCCCGGAUGGGUGGUUCCUCAAGCCUGACAGGGAAGAGAGAAAGAGAGAGGAGAGAGGGAGCUACAGGUUGAAGAAUAAUAUAGGCCCAAAUUAACUGAAACAAUGUGUAAAGAUUAGGUGCAAAGUGAAAGAUUGAUUUGCCCCUUGUUCAA